rnacentral:tRNA from 1 species
AAGAAAAUGACAGAGAGGUUAUGUGGUUGGCUUGAAACCAAUUUACGGGGGUUCGACUCCUCCUUUUCUCG